AUGUCAAGAAGGAAGGCUUAACCCCCA
rnacentral:piRNA from 1 species